rnacentral:rRNA from 1 species
GAAGCCCUUCGGGGCAGGAAGACAGGUGGUGCAUGGUUGUCGUCAGCUCGUGUCGUGAGAUGUUGGGUUAAGUCCCGCAACGAGCGCAACCCUUAUUGUUAGUUGCUACCAUUUAGUUGAGCACUCUAGCGAGACUGCCCGGGUUAACCGGGAGGAAGGUGGGGAUGACGUCAAAUCAUCAUGCCCCUUAUGUCUAGGGCUACACACGUGCUACAAUGGCUGGUACAGAGAGAUGCUAAACCGCGAGGUGGAGCCAAACUUUAAAACCAGUCUCAGUUCGGAUUGUAGGCUGAAACUCGCCUACAUGAAGCUGGAGUUGCUAGUAAUCGCGAAUCAGAAUGUCGCGGUGAAUACGUUCCCGGGCCUUGUACACACCGCCCGUCACACCAUGAGAGUUGGCAAUACCCAAAGUUCGUGAGCUAACGCGUAAGCGGGGCAGCGACCUAAGGUAGGGUCAGCGAUUGGGGUGAAGUCGUAACAAGGUAGCCGUAGGAGAACCUGCGGCUGGAUCACCUCCUUU